GGGUUGUGAGGUUAAGCGACUAAGCGUACACGGUGGAUGCCCUGGCAGUCAGAGGCGAUGAAGGACGUGCUAAUCUGCGAUAAGCGUCGGUGAGGUGAUAUGAACCGUUAUAACCGGCGAUUUCCGAAUGGGGAAACCCAGUGUGUUUCGACACACUAUCAUUAACUGAAUCCAUAGGUUAAUGAGGCGAACCGGGGGAACUGAAACAUCUAAGUACCCCGAGGAAAAGAAAUCAACCGAGAUUCCCCCAGUAGCGGCGAGCGAACGGGGAGCAGCCCAGAGCCUGAAUCAGUGUGUGUGUUAGUGGAAGCGUCUGGAAAGGCGUGCGAUACAGGGUGACAGCCCCGUACACAAAAAUGCACAUACUGUGAGCUCGAUGAGUAGGGCGGGACACGUGGUAUCCUGUCUGAAUAUGGGGGGACCAUCCUCCAAGGCUAAAUACUCCUGACUGACCGAUAGUGAACCAGUACCGUGAGGGAAAGGCGAAAAGAACCCCGGCGAGGGGAGUGAAAAAGAACCUGAAACCGUGUACGUACAAGCAGUGGGAGCCUCUUAAUGGGGUGACUGCGUACCUUUUGUAUAAUGGGUCAGCGACUUAUAUUCUGUAGCAAGGUUAACCGAAUAGGGGAGCCGAAGGGAAACCGAGUCUUAACUGGGCGUUAAGUUGCAGGGUAUAGACCCGAAACCCGGUGAUCUAGCCAUGGGCAGGUUGAAGGUUGGGUAACACUAACUGGAGGACCGAACCGACUAAUGUUGAAAAAUUAGCGGAUGACUUGUGGCUGGGGGUGAAAGGCCAAUCAAACCGGGAGAUAGCUGGUUCUCCCCGAAAGCUAUUUAGGUAGCGCCUCGUGAAUUCAUCUCCGGGGGUAGAGCACUGUUUCGGCAAGGGGGUCAUCCCGACUUACCAACCCGAUGCAAACUGCGAAUACCGGAGAAUGUUAUCACGGGAGACACACGGCGGGUGCUAACGUCCGUCGUGAAGAGGGAAACAACCCAGACCGCCAGCUAAGGUCCCAAAGUCAUGGUUAAGUGGGAAACGAUGUGGGAAGGCCCAGACAGCCAGGAUGUUGGCUUAGAAGCAGCCAUCAUUUAAAGAAAGCGUAAUAGCUCACUGGUCGAGUCGGCCUGCGCGGAAGAUGUAACGGGGCUAAACCAUGCACCGAAGCUGCGGCAGCGACACUAUGUGUUGUUGGGUAGGGGAGCGUUCUGUAAGCCUGUGAAGGUGUACUGUGAGGUAUGCUGGAGGUAUCAGAAGUGCGAAUGCUGACAUAAGUAACGAUAAAGCGGGUGAAAAGCCCGCUCGCCGGAAGACCAAGGGUUCCUGUCCAACGUUAAUCGGGGCAGGGUGAGUCGACCCCUAAGGCGAGGCCGAAAGGCGUAGUCGAUGGGAAACAGGUUAAUAUUCCUGUACUUGGUGUUACUGCGAAGGGGGGACGGAGAAGGCUAUGUUGGCCGGGCGACGGUUGUCCCGGUUUAAGCGUGUAGGCUGGUUUUCCAGGCAAAUCCGGAAAAUCAAGGCUGAGGCGUGAUGACGAGGCACUACGGUGCUGAAGCAACAAAUGCCCUGCUUCCAGGAAAAGCCUCUAAGCAUCAGGUAACAUCAAAUCGUACCCCAAACCGACACAGGUGGUCAGGUAGAGAAUACCAAGGCGCUUGAGAGAACUCGGGUGAAGGAACUAGGCAAAAUGGUGCCGUAACUUCGGGAGAAGGCACGCUGAUAUGUAGGUGAAGUCCCUUGCGGAUGGAGCUGAAAUCAGUCGAAGAUACCAGCUGGCUGCAACUGUUUAUUAAAAACACAGCACUGUGCAAACACGAAAGUGGACGUAUACGGUGUGACGCCUGCCCGGUGCCGGAAGGUUAAUUGAUGGGGUUAGCGGUAACGCGAAGCUCUUGAUCGAAGCCCCGGUAAACGGCGGCCGUAACUAUAACGGUCCUAAGGUAGCGAAAUUCCUUGUCGGGUAAGUUCCGACCUGCACGAAUGGCGUAAUGAUGGCCAGGCUGUCUCCACCCGAGACUCAGUGAAAUUGAACUCGCUGUGAAGAUGCAGUGUACCCGCGGCAAGACGGAAAGACCCCGUGAACCUUUACUAUAGCUUGACACUGAACAUUGAGCCUUGAUGUGUAGGAUAGGUGGGAGGCUUUGAAGUGUGGACGCCAGUCUGCAUGGAGCCGGCCUUGAAAUACCACCCUUUAAUGUUUGAUGUUCUAACGUUGGCCCCUGAUCGGGGUUGCGGACAGUGUCUGGUGGGUAGUUUGACUGGGGCGGUCUCCUCCUAAAGAGUAACGGAGGAGCACGAAGGUUGGCUAAUCCUGGUCGGACAUCAGGAGGUUAGUGCAAUGGCAUAAGCCAGCUUGACUGCGAGCGUGACGGCGCGAGCAGGUGCGAAAGCAGGUCAUAGUGAUCCGGUGGUUCUGAAUGGAAGGGCCAUCGCUCAACGGAUAAAAGGUACUCCGGGGAUAACAGGCUGAUACCGCCCAAGAGUUCAUAUCGACGGCGGUGUUUGGCACCUCGAUGUCGGCUCAUCACAUCCUGGGGCUGAAGUAGGUCCCAAGGGUAUGGCUGUUCGCCAUUUAAAGUGGUACGCGAGCUGGGUUUAGAACGUCGUGAGACAGUUCGGUCCCUAUCUGCCGUGGGCGCUGGAGAACUGAGGGGGGCUGCUCCUAGUACGAGAGGACCGGAGUGGACGCAUCACUGGUGUUCGGGUUGUCAUGCCAAUGGCACUGCCCGGUAGCUAAAUGCGGAAGAGAUAAGUGCUGAAAGCAUCUAAGCACGAAACUUGCCCCGAGAUGAGUUCUCCCUGACUCCUUGAGAGUCCUGAAGGAACGUUGAAGACGACGACGUUGAUAGGCCGGGUGUGUAAGCGCAGCGAUGCGUUGAGCUAACCGGUACUAAUGAACCGUGAGGCUUAACCUUACAACGCCGAAGGUGUUU
rnacentral:rRNA from 1 species